AUUACUGUAGUCCAGGCUACUUGGCAAUUGAGGCUAAUGUAUCGGUUGAGUUUGAGAAUUCUGAGCUACAGUGGAGUGAACUGAUCAGGUGUUCAAACUAUGUGUAGUAUCAGUAUGGUGAGCCCUCAAGAGUAGUCACCAGGUUGCCUAAGAGGCAGCAAAAUGGCCCAGAUUGGAUAUGGAGCAGGUUGAAGUUCCUAUGCCAAUCAGUAAUGGGAUCAGGUCUGGUAAAUAGCCCCUUCAUUUCCAGCUUGGACAAGAUAGGAAUAUCAGUCUUUU
rnacentral:SRP_RNA from 1 species